UUGUACCUGGUGGCGAGCGGCGGACGGGUGAGUAAUGCCUAGGAAUCUGCCUGGUAGUGGGGGAUAACGCUCGGAAACGGACGCUAAUACCGCAUACGUCCUACGGGAGAAAGCAGGGGACCUUCGGGCCUUGCGCUAUCAGAUGAGCCUAGGUCGGAUUAGCUAGUUGGUGAGGUAAUGGCUCACCAAGGCGACGAUCCGUAACUGGUCUGAGAGGAUGAUCAGUCACACUGGAACUGAGACACGGUCCAGACUCCUACGGGAGGCAGCAGUGGGGAAUAUUGGACAAUGGGCGAAAGCCUGAUCCAGCCAUGCCGCGUGUGUGAAGAAGGUCUUCGGAUUGUAAAGCACUUUAAGUUGGGAGGAAGGGCAUUUACCUAAUACGUAAGUGUUUUGACGUUACCGACAGAAUAAGCACCGGCUAACUCUGUGCCAGCAGCCGCGGUAAUACAGAGGGUGCARGCGUUAAUCGGAAUUACUGGGCGUAAAGCGCGCGUAGGUGGUUUGUUAAGUUGGAUGUGAAAUCCCCGGGCUCAACCUGGGAACUGCAUUCAAAACUGACAAG
rnacentral:rRNA from 1 species